CCAGCUGCCAGUCCUAAGUCUUAAUUGCUUAAUUGAUGAUCAUCAGCUGGACAGGUGGUGUUGGUGUGGAGCAUGUGGAGUUCAGGGCUCCACAGUGACAAAGGUUAUUCAUAGUCAAGCCCAACGUCUGACCCUCAGCGUCAAGGCUGGAGUGACUGUGCUUUAUUCAGCGUGGGAGUCCGAGCCAAGCGGAGCAUCAGCUGAUCGUCACAUGAACAUAGCAGGCAUCGUUGCCCGAGCCAGGCCUCGCAGGGGCGAGUGACGUGCGGUGACGUCACGGCCCCGUGCGGGAAAUCUGACGCUGCAGGUGGCGCACGUGGUCUGCUGUUUACUUCUUUCAGGAACACCAGGAACACUGGGAGCAGCUGGCGCGGAGGAGGGGCGCGCGCGGAUUGUGGGUAGAGUUUCAUUGCUCAGCAUUUGGACGAGGACAGAAAACAGCGCCGGCUAAAAUGUCGCAGUGAUCCCGUCGCAGUUGCGACCUCAGAGAUUCUCCAGACGACGCCGACCUCGGCAGCAGAAGGCUAAAAUGCUCGGGAGCCUGUUUACCCAGUUACAAGUGACCUCCAGAGGUUCAGAGAGAGAGCGAGGCCAGAGCCAGCAGCAGACGCCCGCCCUGGCGGACUUCAUACGUCACAUCAGGAAUCUGACAGGCCUCAAAAACAGCGACAUCUACUCCAACCUGCGCGUCCCGGACCAGUUUGAGAACAGCGACGACGACAUCAACGUCGUCAUCCUCACUGGCCAGGGGAUCUUCUGCGUGGACGUGAAAGCCUGGAGCGGCACGGUGUCCGCUCACAACCGGAAGUGGCACGUCCAGGUGAGAGAAGAGGCCCGAAACGUCACCAAUACCUGCAUCGAACAGGUCGAAGAUCCCCUCAAAGCAAUAACGACCAAGGCGGCCGACCUGUGCGGCCAUUUGAGGAGGAGCGGCGUGUCGGUGCGCCGGAGCCUCUUCUUCCCCAGGGUCGUGUUCCUCUCCCCAGACUGCGAGCUGGACGAGGACCUGAGGAGAUCCAGGGAGCUGGUCUCCCACAGCCAGACCGACGACUUCCUCAGAUCUCUGCGGGAGGGCUACGUGGCCUGGAUAUCGGAUGCCCUGACGCCGUCCUGGCUCUCGGGUCAUCUGUCGUACAGGCAGAUGGACUCGGCGCGGGAGGUCCUGGGCCGGGUGGGAACCUGGGAUCUGCUGCGGCUGCACUGCGGCGGGCUGCUCAAGGGCGACUUCCAGGGCUGCCAGUACAUCGCGCUGGACCGGGCCGAGACGGACACGCUGGAGUUCUCCAGGGUCAAGGUCCUGUCUCCGGACCUGCUGCUGACGCUGCUGGGACACACUCCUCAGGUCACCGUUAAGAUGUACAAGCGUGGCUCUCAAGGCUGGCUGGGAAAAACCCUGAGCGCCACCACCACCAUCCCCUCCAACACCUGCGUGAUCUUCAGGAUCGCCGGGGACGAAGCCGACGCUAGGAUCCCGGCCAAAACCAUCCACAGCAUCACGCUCAGCAUAUGACGAAGCUGCUGACGAAGAAGAGGAGGGGAAAAUGAGAACUAACUCUGAAUCCUGUUUUUACUAAGUGCCUUUAACCGGCUUCGUUUGGAUCGGAUGCUGUGAAUUUUAUGCAAAAAGUAGGAAAAACCAAACACUUUACCCCUCAACAGCAACACUUUGUUUUAGAAUAAUUAGCCUGAUUAACUUUCUCCUCCUCCACGUUUAGAGCUGGCCUCGCUUUACACCAGCCAUCAGUUGAUCAUUACGUUGGCUGAUUGUGUCACGUCGGUUCAGGGCUGAAGUGUUUAAUGUGUUAAUUGUCGUGGUUGAAGCCAGGAGGCGGCCUCCGCUGUGGGGUUGAGAGGCUGUGAUGCGCCUUUAAAUGCUGCAGCCGUAAGGCGUUUUAUUAGCAGCCGCGUGCGUCCGAGUCGCUCUCCACCGGGUGCCGGGCUGCGCUAACGGCUAGCGCUUGUAGCGGGCCUGGUUGUGUGGGAAACGAAGCUGCUUUCAUCAGCUAAUGCAAUAGACGGAGCUGUGUGACGGUGCUAUCGCUUUGCAUGGAACGCUCCCCUGGAAAAGUCAAACGUUCGAGUAUUACACUGCAUUAGGUCCUUUUCCAAAGCACUUAGUCUAUAAUGUCGGAUUAUCUGGGAUGAAAAGCAGGCUGUUUUAUGGAAAUCUGUUAACUUCAAGGUGCAUGUAGGUUUUAUUGUUUGGGUGUGGAUAAAUGUGUUUUUUUUUUUUUUUUAAUCAAACCUGAAGCACUGAAGCGUGGCUGUUUUGUGUUUGUGUGCGUCUGUGUGGGUUUUUAGACAUUGUGUCAUGAAGUGCUCCUAUGUUCACCUGUGUUUUAAUAAAAAGGUGUAACGAUGCGACGCGUCCCGUGAU
rnacentral:lncRNA from 1 species